rnacentral:rRNA from 1 species
ACGGGUGAGUAACACGUGGAUCAUCUGCCUUUUAGUGGGGAAUACCGCUGGGAAACCGGCGACAAUACCGCAUAAGCUCGAGAGAGGAAAGCCGAAAGGCGCUGAAAGAGGAGUCCGCGGUCGAUUAGCCAGUUGGUAGGGUAAUGGCCUACCAAAGCUUUGAUCGAUAGCCGGCCUGAGAGGGCACACGGCCACACUGGCACUGAAACACGGGCCAGACUCCUACGGGAGGCAGCAGUGGGGAAUCUUGCACAAUGGGGGAAACCCUGAUGCAGCGACGCCGCGUGAGCGAUGAAGCCCUUCGGGGUGUAAAGCUCUUUCGGCAGGGAAGAUUAUGACGGUACCUGCAGAAGCAGCUGCGGCUAACUACGUGCCAGCAGCCGCGG